GACGAACGCUGGCGGCGUGCUUAACACAUGCAAGUCGAACGGUAAGGCCCUUCGGGGUACACGAGUGGCGAACGGGUGAGUAACACGUGGGUGAUCUGCCCUGCACUUCGGGAUAAGCCUGGGAAACUGGGUCUAAUACCGGAUAGGACCACUGCCUGCAUGGGUGGUGGUGGAAAGCUUUUGCGGUGUGGGAUGGGCCCGCGGCCUAUCUGCUUGUUGGUGGGGUGAUGGCCUACCAAGGCGACGACGGGUAGCCGGCCGGGGAGGGUAACGGGCCACACUGGGACGGAGAUACGGCCCAUACUCCUACGGGAGGCAGCAGUGGGGAAUAUUGCACAAUGGGCGCAAGACGGAUGCAGCGACGCCGCGUGAGGGAUGACGGCCUUCGGGUUGUAAACCUCUUUCAGCACCGACGAAGCGCAAGUGACGGUAGGUGCAGAAGAAGGACCGGCCAACUACGUGCCAGCCGCCGCCGUAA
rnacentral:rRNA from 1 species